rnacentral:rRNA from 1 species
AGAGUUUGAUCCUGGCUCAGAUUGAACGCUGGCGGCGUGCUUAACACAUGCAAGUCGAUCGGUAACAGGUGUAGCAAUACAUGCUGACGAGAGGCGGACGGGUGAGGAAUGUUUGGGAAUCUGCCCAUCAGCGGGGGACAACCCGGGGAAACCCGGGCUAAUACCGCAUACGCUCUACGGAGGAAAGCCGGGGACCGCAAGGCCUGGCACUGAUGGAUGAGCCCAAAUCGGAUUAGCUAGUUGGCGGGGUAACGGCCCACCAAGGCUACGAUCCGUAGCUGGUCUGAGAGGACGAUCAGCCACACCGGAACUGAGACACGGUCCGGACUCCUACGGGAGGCAGCAGUGGGGAAUAUUGGACAAUGGGCGCAAGCCUGAUCCAGCCAUGCCGCGUGAAGGAUGAAGGCCUUCUGGGUUGUAAACUUCUUUUAUCUGGGAAGAAGCCUCCGAUUUCUAUUGGAGUUGACGGUACCAGAGGAAUAAGCACCGGCUAACUCCGUGCCAGCAGCCGCGGUAAU